AGCGUACACGGUGGAUGCCCUGGCAGUCAGAGGCGAUGAAGGACGUGCUAAUCUGCGAUAAGCGUCGGUAAGGUGAUAUGAACCGUUAUAACCGGCGAUUUCCGAAUGGGGAAACCCAGUGUGUUUCGACACACUAUCAUUAACUGAAUCCAUAGGUUAAUGAGGCGAACCGGGGGAACUGAAACAUCUAAGUACCCCGAGGAAAAGAAAUCAACCGAGAUUCCCCCAGUAGCGGCGAGCGAACGGGGAGGAGCCCAGAGCCUGAAUCAGUGUGUGUGUUAGUGGAAGCGUCUGGAAAGGCGCGCGAUACAGGGUGACAGCCCCGUACACAAAAAUGCACAUACUGUGAGCUCGAUGAGUAGGGCGGGACACGUGGUAUCCUGUCUGAAUAUGGGGGGACCAUCCUCCAAGGCUAAAUACUCCUGACUGACCGAUAGUGAACCAGUACCGUGAGGGAAAGGCGAAAAGAACCCCGGCGAGGGGAGUGAAAAAGAACCUGAAACCGUGUACGUACAAGCAGUGGGAGCCUCUUUUAUGGGGUGACUGCGUACCUUUUGUAUAAUGGGUCAGCGACUUAUAUUCUGUAGCAAGGUUAACCGAAUAGGGGAGCCGAAGGGAAACCGAGUCUUAACUGGGCGUUAAGUUGCAGGGUAUAGACCCGAAACCCGGUGAUCUAGCCAUGGGCAGGUUGAAGGUUGGGUAACACUAACUGGAGGACCGAACCGACUAAUGUUGAAAAAUUAGCGGAUGACUUGUGGCUGGGGGUGAAAGGCCAAUCAAACCGGGAGAUAGCUGGUUCUCCCCGAAAGCUAUUUAGGUAGCGCCUCGUGAAUUCAUCUCCGGGGGUAGAGCACUGUUUCGGCAAGGGGGUCAUCCCGACUUACCAACCCGAUGCAAACUGCGAAUACCGGAGAAUGUUAUCACGGGAGACACACGGCGGGUGCUAACGUCCGUCGUGAAGAGGGAAACAACCCAGACCGCCAGCUAAGGUCCCAAAGUCAUGGUUAAGUGGGAAACGAUGUGGGAAGGCCCAGACAGCCAGGAUGUUGGCUUAGAAGCAGCCAUCAUUUAAAGAAAGCGUAAUAGCUCACUGGUCGAGUCGGCCUGCGCGGAAGAUGUAACGGGGCUAAACCAUGCACCGAAGCUGCGGCAGCGACACUAUGUGUUGUUGGGUAGGGGAGCGUUCUGUAAGCCUGUGAAGGUGUACUGUGAGGUAUGCUGGAGGUAUCAGAAGUGCGAAUGCUGACAUAAGUAACGAUAAAGCGGGUGAAAAGCCCGCUCGCCGGAAGACCAAGGGUUCCUGUCCAACGUUAAUCGGGGCAGGGUGAGUCGACCCCUAAGGCGAGGCCGAAAGGCGUAGUCGAUGGGAAACAGGUUAAUAUUCCUGUACUUGGUGUUACUGCGAAGGGGGGACGGAGAAGGCUAUGUUGGCCGGGCGACGGUUGUCCCGGUUUAAGCGUGUAGGCUGGUUUUCCAGGCAAAUCCGGAAAAUCAAGGCUGAGGCGUGAUGACGAGGCACUACGGUGCUGAAGCAACAAAUGCCCUGCUUCCAGGAAAAGCCUCUAAGCAUCAGGUAACAUCAAAUCGUACCCCAAACCGACACAGGUGGUCAGGUAGAGAAUACCAAGGCGCUUGAGAGAACUCGGGUGAAGGAACUAGGCAAAAUGGUGCCGUAACUUCGGGAGAAGGCACGCUGAUAUGUAGGUGAAGCGACUUGCUCGUGGAGCUGAAAUCAGUCGAAGAUACCAGCUGGCUGCAACUGUUUAUUAAAAACACAGCACUGUGCAAACACGAAAGUGGACGUAUACGGUGUGACGCCUGCCCGGUGCCGGAAGGUUAAUUGAUGGGGUCAGCGCAAGCGAAGCUCUUGAUCGAAGCCCCGGUAAACGGCGGCCGUAACUAUAACGGUCCUAAGGUAGCGAAAUUCCUUGUCGGGUAAGUUCCGACCUGCACGAAUGGCGUAAUGAUGGCCAGGCUGUCUCCACCCGAGACUCAGUGAAAUUGAACUCGCUGUGAAGAUGCAGUGUACCCGCGGCAAGACGGAAAGACCCCGUGAACCUUUACUAUAGCUUGACACUGAACAUUGAGCCUUGAUGUGUAGGAUAGGUGGGAGGCUUGGAAGUGUGGACGCCAGUCUGCAUGGAGCCGACCUUGAAAUACCACCCUUUAAUGUUUGAUGUUCUAACGUUGACCCGUGAUCCGGGUUGCGGACAGUGUCUGGUGGGUAGUUUGACUGGGGCGGUCUCCUCCUAAAGAGUAACGGAGGAGCACGAAGGUUGGCUAAUCCUGGUCGGACAUCAGGAGGUUAGUGCAAUGGCAUAAGCCAGCUUGACUGCGAGCGUGACGGCGCGAGCAGGUGCGAAAGCAGGUCAUAGUGAUCCGGUGGUUCUGAAUGGAAGGGCCAUCGCUCAACGGAUAAAAGGUACUCCGGGGAUAACAGGCUGAUACCGCCCAAGAGUUCAUAUCGACGGCGGUGUUUGGCACCUCGAUGUCGGCUCAUCACAUCCUGGGGCUGAAGUAGGUCCCAAGGGUAUGGCUGUUCGCCAUUUAAAGUGGUACGCGAGCUGGGUUUAGAACGUCGUGAGACAGUUCGGUCCCUAUCUGCCGUGGGCGCUGGAGAACUGAGGGGGGCUGCUCCUAGUACGAGAGGACCGGAGUGGACGCAUCACUGGUGUUCGGGUUGUCAUGCCAAUGGCACUGCCCGGUAGCUAAAUGCGGAAGAGAUAAGUGCUGAAAGCAUCUAAGCACGAAACUUGCCCCGAGAUGAGUUCUCCCUGACUCCUUGA
rnacentral:rRNA from 1 species